rnacentral:rRNA from 1 species
ACCGUGCAAAGGUAGCGCAAUCACUUGUUCUUUAAAUAAGGACCUGUAUGAAAGGCAAAACGAGGGCUUUACUGUCUCCCUAUUCAAGUCAGUGAAAUUGAUCUGCCCGUGCAGAAGCGGACAUAAAAAUACAAGACGAGAAGACCCUUUGGAGCUUUAGGCACAAGUCAUCUAUGUCAAUAAUACUGGCCCCCAGUCAAAACUAAAUAGAGUUGACCCACGCCUUCGGUUGGGGCGACCGCGGGGAAAAAUAAAACCCCCAUGUGGAAAUGAGGCUAUUGCCCUUACAACCAAGAGGUACCCCUCUAAGUCACAGAACUUCUGACCAAUAGAUCCGGCUACUCGCCGAUCAACGAACCAAGUUACCCAAGGGAUAACAGCGCAAUCCCCUUUAAGAGUCCCCAUCGACAAGGGGGUUUACGACCUCGAUGUUGGAUCAGGACAUCCUAAUGG